rnacentral:rRNA from 1 species
UGGUCCGUCCGCGUUCCCCUGAAGAUCCGCAUUUUCAUGUGGCAGUGGAUUCGCGGCCGGAUCCCGUCUGGAGUGGAGGUCCGCAAGCGCAAUGGCCCGGGCACCGGUAUCUGCCCGCUCUGUGGAGUCCCUGAAGACUCGAACCACAUCUUCUUCUCCUGCAUCUCCGUCCAAUUCCUCUGGAGCUGCUUUCGCGAGGUGGUCGGUGGUAGUUGGUGCCACACCAACUUCCCGGACCUAUUUGCUGAACUCCAGUUGUCCCCCGCGUCCUCUCGCCACAUUAGGUGGCUUGAGGUUGGGGUUCUCGCCUGGACUCUUUGGACCGUUCGCAAUAAGCUUGUGAUCCAGCACGCUCCCCUUCGUCGCGCCACUGGCGCUCUCUACAAAUUCUCGGGUUUCUUGCAGCUUUGGCGGCCGCUUAGCCGCCCCCCGGACCGUGACGCCAUUUCCGCCUUCAUCGCCGACAUCCGUUCGAUGGCCGUCCGCCUGUCGCCGCCGCCCCCACCGCCUCCGCCGGAUCCUGAUUAG